GACGAACGCUGGCGGCGUGCUUAACACAUGCAAGUCGAACGGUAAGGCUCCAGCUUGCUGGGGUACACGAGUGGCGAACGGGUGAGUAACACGUGGGUGACCUGCCCUGCACUUCGGGAUAAGCCUGGGAAACUGGGUCUAAUACCGGAUAGGACCAUGGUGUGGUUACUGUGGUGGAAAGUUUUUUCGGUGUGGGAUGGGCCCGCGGCCUAUCAGCUUGUUGGUGGGGUAAUGGCCUACCAAGGCGGCGACGGGUAGCCGGCCUGAGAGGGUGGACGGCCACAUUGGGACUGAGACACGGCCCAGACUCCUACGGGAGGCAGCAGUGGGGAAUAUUGCACAAUGGGCGGAAGCCUGAUGCAGCGACGCCGCGUGGGGGAUGACGGCCUUCGGGUUGUAAACUCCUUUCACCAUCGACGAAGGGUUUCUGACGGUAGAUGGAGAAGAAGCACCGGCUAACUACGUG
rnacentral:rRNA from 1 species